rnacentral:rRNA from 1 species
CCUACGGGUGGCUGCAGUGAGGAAUAUUGGUCAAUGGACGCAAGUCUGAACCAGCCAUGCCGCGUGCAGGAAGACGGCUCUAUGAGUUGUAAACUGCUUUUGUACGAGGGUAAAUCCCGAUACGUGUACCGGGUUGAAAGUAUCGUACGAAUAAGGAUCGGCUAACUCCGUGCCAGCAGCCGCGGUAAUACGGAGGAUUCAAGCGUUAUCCGGAUUUAUUGGGUUUAAAGGGUGCGUAGGUGGAUUGGUAAGUUAGAGGUGAAAUGUUGGGGCUCAACCCCGGCAUUGCCGGUGAUACUGGCAGGCUAGAGUACAGUAGAGGUGGGCGGAAUGUAUGGUGUAGCGGUGAAAUGAUUAGAGAUC